GUCCGUGUAGCCCAAUUGGCAGAGGCGCCAGAUCGAGAGUCUGGAUGUUGGAGGUUCAAGUCCUCUCGCGGAUA
rnacentral:tRNA from 1 species